rnacentral:rRNA from 1 species
GAUGAACGCUGGCGGCGUGCCUAAUACAUGCAAGUCGAGCGAACAGACGAGGAGCUUGCUCCUCUGACGUUAGCGGCGGACGGGUGAGUAACACGUGGAUAACCUACCUAUAAGACUGGGAUAACUUCGGGAAACCGGAGCUAAUCCCGGAAAAUUUUUUGAACCCCUGGGUCAAUUAGUAAAAGAGGUUUUUGUUGUCCUUUAUAGUUGAUCCCCCCCCCAUUUACCAGUUUGUUAGGUAACGGGUUACCAAGGCAAACAUGGGUAGCCCACCUGGGAGGGGGAUAGGGCCCACUGGGACUGGGACACGGUCCAGAAUCCUACGGGAGGGAGCAGUAGGGAAACUUCCGCAAUGGGCGAAAGCCUGACGGAGCAACGCCGCGUGAGUGAUGAAGGUCUUCGGAUCGUAAAACUCUGUUAUUAGGGAAGAACAAAUGUGUAAGUAACUAUGCACGUCUUGACGGUACCUAAUCAGAAAGCCACGGCUAACUACGUG